UACGGGGGGAGCAAGCGUUGUUCGGAUUUACUGGGCGUAAAGGGCGCGUAGGCGGCCACCGCAAGUCGAUUGUGAAAUCUCCGGGCUUAACCCGGAAAGGUCAACCGAUACUGCGGGGCUAGAGUGCAGAAGGGGCAACUGGAAUUCUCGGUGUAGCGGUGAAAUGCGUAGAUAUCGAGAGGAACACCUGCGGCGAAGGCGGGUUGCUGGGCUGACACGUGACGCUGAAGCGCGAAAGCUAGGGGAGCGAACGGG
rnacentral:rRNA from 1 species